rnacentral:lncRNA from 1 species
UAUAUAUAUGCUCCCAUAGGCGUUCUUUAUGAUCCCUUGUGGUUUAAUAAUUGUGUAUCUGCUAUAGGGCGUUCUAAAGGAUCCCCGGGGCGGUCUAUAGGAUCCCCUGUUGUUUGUUCAUAAUAUAUCUAUAACAGGUUGUUCUAUACGAUCCCCUGGGCUGUCUAUACGAUCCCCUGGGCUGUCUAUAGGAUACCCUGUUGGUUGUUCAUCAUGUAUCUAUAACAGGUUGUUCUAUACGAUCCCCUGGGCGGUCUAUAGGAUCCCCUUUUGUUUAAUAAUCGCGCAUAUUCUAUAGUGCGUUCUAUAGGAUCCCCGGGUCUGUCUAUAGGAUCCCCUAUUGUUUAUACCUUGGCGGUCUAUAUGAUCCCCUUUUGUUUAAUAAUCGCGCAUAUUCUAUAGUGCGUUCUAUAGGAUCCCUGUGUCUGUCUAUAGGAUCCCCUAUUGUUUAAUAACCUUGCAUCUGCUAUAGGGCGUUCUAUGUUAUCCCUUUCAAAGGUCGAGGGGGCAUAUUGUUAUUGGUUGUUUUUUUUCUUUUUCUUUUCUUUUUCCCCAUAAUUUUAUUGUCCCGACAAAUUCUCGGAAAAGGAUAGACACAUUCAUCUUUAUGGAAUUAUGGCAUAAUGUAAACCAUUAUAUAAAGUUGUGCUUUUUAAUAAGGGGAUGGUCCAAGAUGGUCUCGAUUACUAUAAACACUGGUCAACAGUAUUUUUU